UGCAGAUUUCUUUGGCAUCAGCAAUAUUUAUUGAUGAGGAAUAUAGGAAAAGAAUUAUCUUUUCCGACUGAGAUGUUUUUGCUAGACGACAAAAUAUAUCCGAACAAAUAUCCAGUAUUGACACCUAAUUACCUAAGACAAAUUCCAGAAUAUGCAAAGGAAGUGUAGAAAAUUAAAUGGACAUAUUACACACUAUAGAGUAGAGGUUGACCACGCCAUUGGAGAAUAAAAAAACACACAAAAUUAUGGGGACUUUGUGUGGCGGUUCACAUUUGUUGUAACAAUAAGUUUCUGCAUGUGAAGACUUAUUUACAUGAUAAAAAGAAUAUAAUUUCACUUUACUAUGUAUCUCAUUUGUUUUUUUUUUAAAUUUUUAUUUUGAGAGGACCCCUUGUUUUACGUCAACUGUAAUCGUAAGUCUUGCAAUAAUCCUAGGUAUAGACCUAGUUUC
rnacentral:lncRNA from 1 species